rnacentral:tRNA from 1 species
ACCGCAAUAGCUUGGCUGGUAGAGCAUCCUCCCGGCAAGCGUAAGAUCGCCGGUUCGGUUCCGGCUCGCGGAG